UACGUAGGGUGCAAGCGUUAAUCGGAAUUACUGGGCGUAAAGCGUGCGCAGGCGGUUUUGUAAGUCUGUCGUGAAAGCCCCGGGCUCAACCUGGGAAUUGCGAUGGAGACUGCAAGGCUUGAAUCUGGCAGAGGGGGGUGGAAUUCCACGUGUAGCAGUGAAAUGCGUAGAGAUGUGGAGGAACACCGAUGGCGAAGGCAGCCCCCUGGGUUAACACUGACGCUCAGGCACGAAAGCGUGGGGAGCAAACAGG
rnacentral:rRNA from 1 species